rnacentral:rRNA from 1 species
CGACGUGAGGAACCUGCCUUUCAGAGGGGGACAACAGUUGGAAACGACUGCUAAUACCGCAUGACACAUUGGGGUCGCAUGGCCCUGAUGUCAAAGAUUUAUCGCUGAAAGAUGGCCUCGCGUCUGAUUAGCUAGUUGGUGAGGUAACGGCCCACCAAGGCGACGAUCAGUAGCCGGACUGAGAGGUUGACCGGCCACAUUGGGACUGAGAUACGGCUCAG